rnacentral:rRNA from 1 species
CAGGACGAACGCUGGCGGCGUGCCUAACACAUGCAAGUCGAGCGAGGAGAUCCUUCGGGAUGAUCCUAGCGGCGGACGGGCGAGUAACACGUGGGCAACCUGCCUCAGUAGAGAGGAAUAGCCUUCCGAAAGGGAGAUUAAUACCUCAUAACAUUGCAGUUUCGCAUGAAACAGCAAUUAAAGGAGCAAUCCGCUAUGAGAUGGGCCCGCGGCGCAUUAGCUAGUUGGUGAGGUAACGGCUCACCAAGGCGACGAUGCGUAGCCGACCUGAGAGGGUGAUCGGCCACAUUGGGACUGAGACACGGCCCAGACUCCUACGGGAGGCAGCAGUGGGGAAUAUUGCACAAUGGGGGAAACCCUGAUGCCAGCAACGCCGCGUGAGUGAUGACGGCCUUCGGGUUGUAAAGCUCUGUCUUCAGGGACGAUAAUGACGGUACCUGAGGAGGAAGCCACGGCUAACUACGUGCCAGCCGCCGC